rnacentral:rRNA from 1 species
AACGCUGGCGGCACGCCUAACACAUGCAAGUCGAACGGAGAAUGCUUAGCUUGCUUGCAUUCUAGUGGCGGACGGGUGAGUAACACGUGAGCAACCUGCCUCUGAGAGAGGGAUAGCUUCUGGAAACGGAUGGUAAUACCUCAUAACAUAGAUGAGCCGCAUGACUUAUCUAUCAAAGAUUUAUCACUCAGAGAUGGGCUCGCGUCUGAUUAGCUAGUUGGUGAGGUAACGGCUCACCAAGGCGACGAUCAGUAGCCGGACUGAGAGGUUGAACGGCCACAUUGGGACUGAGACACGGCCCAGACUCCUACGGGAGGCAGCAGUGAGGGAUAUUGCACAAUGGAGGAAACUCUGAAUGCAGCGAUGCCGCGUGGAGGAAGAAGGUUUUCGGAUUGUAAACUCCUGUUUCGAGGGACGAUAGUGACGGUACCUCGGGAGGAAGCUCCGGCUAAUUACGUGCCAGCCGCAGC